AAUUUGAAUGUAAACCAUGUGUCUAUGUUGCAACAGUCAUAAGUGUGCAAAAUGGUCAUAAGCUAUUUUUUUUUCAGUGUCGUAAUUUUGAACCAUCACUAAAUGAACUGUUGUAAGUCGAGGACUACCUGUAUUUCAUAGAGUGCUUCAGGGACUGAUAGAACGGUUUGAGAAAACUCUGGAUAGAAAGUCCAAUCAGAACUGUGGAAAGCAUCUAGAAGAACUACAUUGCAAUGGAAAGACAGUAAUGAACAAGCAACAUCAAAAAAGUGGUGAAGAAAUAUUUUUCCUUGAGGAAGAAGCAUGUGAAUGGGUAACAUCAGAAAGAAAAGGUGCUAACAGAAGGACAUAAUCAGAUGGCAAUCUCAAUUAUUCAUGGUAUCUCCCAUUUAUAUUAGCAUCCUAUAUAUCCCAUUGUGUUCAAAAUACUUCCUAGCUGGAUAUGUUUAGAUGUGCAGUCUUGUUCAGAAGUCUCAUUGAGCAAAAUGGAGUUUAUUCCUCAAUUGGCGGAUAUAAAUUUGUAACUUUAAUCUCUUGCAGCCAAAAUACAAAAUGGUUCAAAAUAGCAAUUGAUGUUUACUGUUCAUAGUUUUAAACAAUUUAUUACAUUACUUUUAUUAGUCAUAUCCAAUUCAAUUCUUUCCCAAGGGUUUUUCAUUUAGUUUAUAGAGUCUAGCCCUAGCCAAUAAGCUUCAACAACAGAACAACAUUCCAUACCUUUUGAACCAAUCACAAAGCUAUUGUUAGUUAUAAACAUCCACCAUUUCAAGGAAUGGAAAGGUAAUGAUGGACAGCAGCAAAUGAAUUGUGGGGAUCCUCCCUCCACCUUUGGAAAAAGUGUCCCAGUUGUGAAAAAUUAUGCAGGAAUUGGCGAAACAAAAAUCACAGCAAAGUAUGUUCAUCUUCAUACAUUUAUUUUCAGAAAAUUUCUUGAUGACAUCUAUGUUUUCAGGGAGGUAUGGUAUGUUCAUACUGAACAUAAAAAUUGUCACUACUUAAUAGCUAGUAUUAUAUUUUUAUGUACAAUAUUAUACUGUAUGGUUAUCUUAUUGCAAACUGGUGAAACAUUUCCUUUUGCUCUGUAGAAAAAAUUGUUUUGUUUGUUUUCAAAAGCACAAUGAAAUUGUCCAUACUAAAUAAUUAAAAAUGCUACUGUAUUGUAAUAAUACUGACAACUGUACAUUCAUUCAUAUUUUACUCAAACUUUUUUUGGAAGAGAGAAAGUUGCAGAAAGAAACAGUCCAACUUUCUAUUCACUAAUAGUUCUUUCCUUUUGUAUUCUAAUGUUAUUAUUUGAUCCACUAUUUCAUUGUAUAGCGUUAUCCACAAUACAUGCAAUAGAGUAUUCCAUUGCAAAACCUACUUAUUUGCAUAUAUUUUGUGCCACAUAUUCUCAGAAUUGGUUUCACUGAGUUUGAUGGGAUUUAUAUUUUUGAACAAUAAACUGAACUGAAUGCAGUCAGAGCUACAAUCUAGUGAAGCAGUCUAGUCAAAAUCUCAAAAAGGAAUAACAAAUUUAGUAAGAGUGAGUCAAUUAAAUAAAGCACAGAAGUAAAUGCAAUUAUGAAUGUAAGGAUUUUUUUUAAAAAAACCAUUUAGUAAUAAAUCCUAAUAGAAUUUUGUUUCUUAGAUUAUAGACCAAGAACAAAAAAUACCUAAAUAAAGUCAGUCUUUAGGCUUUAGCAAGGCAACUCCCUUGAGUUCAUCUAUUGAAGUAAUCGAAAUUUAAAAUAAGCAGGAAGUUUCAAAUGUCCCUCACUCCAAUCCAGUCAAAGAUUUUUUUAAAAAAAUGUUAUGUCUAUGUUAAGUGGACAAUAUUUUUCAGAUUGAAUUUUGAUGGCAGUAACUAAUUUAUGAUUGAAAUUAACUGAUAGCCAUAGGGCUUCAAGGAGCCAUAUGUUGAUAAAUUAAUUUUAAGCAAUGUUUUAUAUAUUUUAAUACUGUCUCUACAAUGACUGUCAAUUAAUCUGAAUGAUUAUAUACAUCUAUGUGGAAAUUUCAGGAAGAAAACACUGUAUAAAUUCUGCACAAGUGAGUACACACCUUCCUAUUAAGUUGCCAAUAUCUGUGUCCCAUGCAACGAAGUUUCCUAAUUUAAAGACUAAAAGCCCAAUUUAAUUACUUAGAAAUGUAAUUUAGAAUUUAAGACAUUUUUUUCCAGGUAACUUUUUUGUAAUCCCACACACGGGACUUACUAGUGUAUUCUGGUGAGCUUAGCAGGAGCUUUCUUCUUGUACAAAGAAAUGUUUCUGAUAUUUUUACUAACAGGUAUUUAAUAAAUUCUACAGACUGUCACUAGGGGUCACUGUUAUGUCAUAUUAAGAAUCUAAGUAUUACUGUAUUGAAGGAUAAUUAUGAGAAAGGGUUUCAAUGAAACAUUUAUAAAUUAGGUAAAUAAUAAAGAAAAAUGUCAAAGUAUUUGCAUAAAUAUUGUUCCAUGUAAAUUCUUAAGUGUUAUUCUUGAAAGUCUGUAGUAAUAUUUAAUA